UUCCGAUGCUGGGGGAAAGAUUCCGCUCCGGGAAGUGUCCCGGAUCUUGAAAAGCAUCACCCAAAAGGAUGCCCGAUAUUCUGGGAUGCCCAGAAAGGUCCUGCCCGGGAGACUCAGUCUUCCCACUGGUGACAGCGAUGCAGGCGGAGUGGAAAGGACUAUGGAGAAGUCUCAGACCAGAGGCGCAUCUCAGGACCGAGCAGCUGCGCAGGUCCAGAGGGGCCCUGCACCCUCUUUUAGUGGUGACGCAGCAAAGACAUUUACAGCGAGAACAGGCUGUGUUGCACAAGGUAGUUCUGCCACCAAAGCCCCGCAAAUUAAAGUUAACUUAAAAUGUU